rnacentral:lncRNA from 1 species
AUGCCUGGCAAAAAAGAUACCAAAAAGGACACAAAGAAGGGAGGAAAACCAGAACCAGAAAAAAAGAAAGAGGAGGAAAAGAAAGGCAAGGAUGACAAAAAGGGAGGAAAAGAUGACAAGAAAUCAACAAAGGAUGAUAAAAAAGGUGGGAAAGAUGACAAGAAAGGGGGAAAGAAGGGAAAGGAGGAGCCACCCAAGGGAAAAGAUGCAGGAAAGAAAGGAAAAGAUAAACAAAAAGGCAAGAAAGUAGAGUCAGAGGAGGAGGAGGAGGAGGAGGAGGUAUUUAGUGAUGAGGAGGAGGAUGAAGAUUUUAGUGAGGACGAAGAUGAGGAGGAGGACUCAGAAGAUGGCAGAAGGGGAAAAGGAGGUAAGGGGGGUAAAGGGAAAAAAGGGGGCAAAUCUAGACGAGGACAAGAUUCUGAAGAAGAUGAAGAAGAUUUUGAAGAGGAAGAAGAUGACGAAGAUGAAGAUGUUCGAGGAAAGUCAAAAAAGAAAGCUAAGGAUGGUCAACACAAAGGAGGGAAAUCUGAUACCCAUAAAAAAAAAGCCAAAAAAAAAGAGGAACCUCCCCCAGCUCCAGUUAAGGAAAUACCCAAGAAGGGUUUGAAGAACAUGUCCACAAUGUUCUUAAAGUUUUCUGGUUUCAAGAGGCGCAAGAACAGUGUGAAAAAGCUGAAAAGCACGUCCCGUUUGUUCCUUGGUUUGGGAAGGAGAAAGAGUCGACUAGCUAAGAAGAAACGAAGAAAGUCUAUGAUGAAGAACACUUCCCGAUUUAUGAUGAAGUUUCAGGCAAGCAAAAAGAAAAAAAAGGAGAAAGAGGCCAAAGAGAAUGGUGGGAAGAAACACAAGUACAUGCUGCUUCGUCUAGGGGGAUUAUCUAAUGAAAAAAAGGGUGGCUUCUUCAAAGGUUUGUUUAAAAAAAAAAGUGGAGCUGGACCUACGGAUGACUUUAAGACGAGCAGCACCAUAUUGGGGAAGGUUGCUGCAGCAGCUAACUGGCUAACUAAACGUUUUAUCUUCAACAAAAUGCGAGGAAACUCAAGAAAUAUUGGUUGGGGGAGUCGUGGAGGAAACAACAGACAAUCCAGCUCUAGACAAAAUACCCAUGGCUAUUAUAACAAUGGCUAUGAACAUGGGGAGGAAAUGUAUGGGUAUGAAUAUCAAGAUUUAGCCUACCAGAAAGGUUAUGGAGGAUAUGAUGACGGUUAUGGUGGCUAUGAUGAUAACCCAAUGACCUCAUAUGGAAGACAGGGUCAGUUUGGUUACAAUGGUGCAGGAGAAACUGAUUUUCAAGACCCAGGGUAUUAUGAGGAAGGUGGACUCUAUGAUUUAAAUGCAGGAUAUUAUGAAGAGGGUCUUUAUGAUGAUGAUAUGGGUCAUUAUUAUAACCCUCAUUCAUCUCCUCAAGCAUUGUAUUACGACCAGGAAAUUGAUGACUAUGGUUACCAGCAACAACCAGCAAUGUAUGAUGAACAUCUGGACUACUAUGCACCAGUGGCCAAAGGUUAUGUCUAUGGAGGGGGGGAGGGGGGAUUCAUGGAUUCUCAGGCUCAGGUGUAUUAUGGUGAGAAUGGUCAGGAAGUUUACUAUGAAACUGAACUCAUGGACCCGUAUGAAAGCUUACAAGAAAGUUUUUAUCAAACCCCUCAUACAUCCUUCAUGGGGAUGCAAGAAAAUUUUCCACCAGACUACCAGUUUACCUAUAACGAUAGUGGCAUGACCUACCAAGACUUCAACUCACAGCAGACAAGUGGAUUCCAACCAUCAAGCCAGCGUGUCUAUGGCUUUGAAGGUUUUGAUGGGCAGGAAAUUGAUCAGGUACAGGGAUUUUACAGGGACCAGUACAAUGCCCAGGGGAAUCAAAAUCGGGAAGAAACUAGUGGGUUUCAGGAAGGGGACAUUACCUUUAGGGUUCCUAGACCUCAAGUGCGACUGUUUGGGAAAGAGCGUCUAGAUGUCCCCUUGCCUCCUCCACCUACAUUUCCACCUGAUCCUGAAUUUGAAGACAUGUCAGACAUCCAGUAUGAAGACCAAAUUCCUGCUCCAGGUCUGAAUGGAAACAUGAUGUCCCUACAGCAGGUAUCAGUCACAUCAAGAAAUAUUUUGAUUACAUUACAUUAUUUUGGUUUUAACCUCCAACUUUAA